AAUAAAUGUGUUUGUUCUUUCUGACCACCAUUUACUCUUUAGGUCCCUCAUAUCCAUAAAGAGAUGAGCCAAGAAAGUAAACCUAGAUGCUGUCCCUUCCCUUGAGCACUGAAGCAAUUCCAUUUCUGCAACAUGCUCUGCAACACCACUUGCCAGAGAAGGUACAUGUUUCAAAGUCUAUUAUUUUGAUAAAUAAUAAGUUAGUAACUGUAUUAUUUGGGGGCAUGAAUAACUCAUCAUUUCUAAGUAUUUUUUAUGAAAUUGUUUCAAUCAACAAUUGCCAUAGUAGUGACAAUGCUGGAUCCUUAACUAGCCUAGCCACUAGAGAACUCCUAUACAUUUUAUUUUAUUUCUCCACUUAAUAAUGAAAUAUAAGUAGAAUCCCUAAUUUACUGACAAUAAUUGUGUGAAAAAGCAAUUUAUUAAAGAAAUGCUCUUAUCUUCUGCAUAUAAUUUUGAAAAGAGCACUAGCUCUAACAUCUACUCUCCAGAAUUUCCAUUAGCAGACUGCCCUCCGCUGUGUAUAUAUCUAUUAACAUACAUCCUAGGUUGUAAUCAAAUAUUUGUUUAAUUGACUACUCUUAGCAGACUUAGAAGUUGCAAACCUCAAGAUACGUAUAAAGCUGUAGUGGCAUGUCAUCAUUAGUUAAUUUAUAAAACCUGGGGUUAUUUCUCUACUAGAGUCCCCACUAGGUAUCUUCUGCAUUUAAACUCAUACUGCUAAGAUUUCUGGAAACAAUUCAAUCUCAAGUCCUGAAUCCAGUUUAUUUAAUUCUUACCUCCUCUGAAAUGCAGCCG
rnacentral:lncRNA from 9 species